AUAUAUAUAUAUAUAUAUAAAAAGUGUUUUCCUGGAAUACCCCUUUAAAGUUACAGCAAGGACCGGACAUGGUACCCAUUUCAGAUUAUAUAAUAAUACAUAUUACUUUGCUAAUUUUGCUGUAGGUGAUCCUGAAGGAUUGUGUACAUUGUUCCUCGCUGAGUAGUGGCCAGUAGAUGGGAAUGUCUGGAUAGUAACCCAACCAUAGUGUCUAAAGCAACAUCACAUUCACUUUUAAGGAAAUGGCAGUACAAGUCUAUAGAGGGGGAGGAGGGAGCAGCUCUGCCCACCAUCUCUGGCAGCACUGCAAAUUAGAGAUGAUGCCUACUGUGAAAAAAUCUGCUGAAAAAUACGAUGUACAAGAUAUAUGAAUUGUCAGAAAAAAGUGCUGCUCUUCAUGCAUACACAUAGGACUGCUUAUCCUGAAAAGUCAACUGAAAUGACAGAAAAUGGCACUGGAAGGAAGUGACUCAAUGUUACAGUAGAUGGCUUCUGAGUGACUGAGAUUCUUCUGACCAUCAUAUCAUCUUUUUCCGGGUCUGGGGUGCUUCUGUCCUGCAAGUUCCUAUCUAUUUUAC